GGGUCAGUACUCAAGUGGCUGAAGAGGCGUCCCUGCUAAGGAUGUAGGGGAGGCAACUCCCGCGGAGGUUCAAAUCCUCUCUGACCCG
rnacentral:tRNA from 1 species